GUGCUCACUUAGGCAGCACAUAUACUAAAAUUUGGAACGAGACAGAGAAGAUUGGCAUGGCCCCUGCACAAGGAUGACAUGCAAAUUUGUGAAGUGUUUCAUAUUAAA